rnacentral:rRNA from 1 species
CUACGGGGGGCUGCAGUGGGGAAUAUUGGGCAAUGGAGGAAACUCUGACCCAGCGACGCCGCGUGAGGGAUGAAGGCCUUCGGGUUGUAAACCUCUUUCAGCAGGGAAUAAGCGAAAGUGAAGGUACCUGCAGAAGAAGCACCGGCUAACUAUGUGCCAGCAGCCGCGUGUAAUACAUAGGGUGCAAGCGUUGUCCGGAAUUAUUGGGCGUAAAGAGCUCGUAGGUGGUCGAUCACGUCGGAUGUGAAAUUCUGAGGCUUAACCUCGGACCUGCAUUCGAUACGGGUUGACUAGAGUGUGGUAGGGGAGACUGGAAUUCCUGGUGUAGCGGUGGAAUGCGCAGAUAUCAGGAGGAACACCGAUGGCGAAGGCAGGUCUCUGGGCCAUUACUGACACUGAGGAGCGAAAGCGUGGGGAGCGAACAGGAUUAGAUACCCUCGUAGUC